rnacentral:rRNA from 1 species
UAAUACAUGCAAGUUGAGCGAUGAAGAUUGGUGCUUGCACCAAUUUGAAGAGCAGCGAACGGGUGAGUAACGCGUGGGGAAUCUGCCUUUGAGCGGGGGACAACAUUUGGAAACGAAUGCUAAUACCGCAUAACAACUUUAAACAUAAGUUUUAAGUUUGAAAGAUGCAAUUGCAUCACUCAAAGAUGAUCCCGCGUUGUAUUAGCUAGUUGGUGAGGUAAAGGCUCACCAAGGCGAUGAUACAUAGCCGACCUGAGAGGGUGAUCGGCCACAUUGGGACUGAGACACGGCCCAAACUCCUACGGGAGGCAGCAGUAGGGAAUCUUCGGCAAUGGACGAAAGUCUGACCGAGCAACGCCGCGUGAGUGAAGAAGGUUUUCGGAUCGUAAAACUCUGUUGGUAGAGAAGAACGUUGGUGAGAGUGGAAAGCUCAUCAAGUGACGGUAACUACCCAGAAAGGGACGGCUAACUACGUGCCAGCAGCCGCGGUAAUACGUAGGUCCCGAGCGUUGUCCGGAUUUAUUGGGCGUAAAGCGAGCGCAGGUGGUUUAUUAAGUCUGGUGUAAAAGGCAGUGGCUCAACCAUUGUAUGCAUUGGAAACUGGUAGACUUGAGUGCAGGAGAGGAGAGUGGAAUUCCAUGUGUAGCGGUGAAAUGCGUAGAUAUAUGGAGGAACACCGGUGGCGAAAGCGGCUCUCUGGCCUGUAACUGACACUG